CCACCGGGCCCCGAGGAGGGGCGGUGCGCAGGCGCGCUCCCGUGGAGUAGUCGUUUGGCCCCAGAGGAGGGCUUGACCCUGGUCCUGGCCCCGGACUGAGGUGUCUGCGACCCAGCGCGCUGCUGCCAUCGCUGGGGUGGGGCCGGGCCCCCGAGGAAGCCGCCUUACCGGCGGGGGCGGGCGGUCCAGGGACCAGGAGCAGCCCUGUUGCUGGCUCACCUCUCUGCCUCUCCAGAUGUGAGGCAGAUCCACACGUCUAGCUAUUGAGAUAAGGCUGGGCGUGGUGGCUCACACCUGUCAUUCCGGCCUGAGAUCUCAUGCCCGGGAGUUUGAAGACUAGCCUGGGCGACCUGGCUGGCAACAUGGCCUCCACAAAAAUAAAUAAAACAUUUUUAAUAUAUAAACAUUAAGAUAAUGGAAA